rnacentral:rRNA from 1 species
UGGGGAAUUUUCCGUCAAUGGGCGAAAGCCUGACGGAGCAAUGCCGCGUGGAGGUGGAAGGCCUACGGGUCGUCAACUUCUUUUCUCGGAGAAGAAACAAUGACGGUAUCUGAGGAAUAAGCAUCGGCUAACUCUGUGCCA